AGUGGACGCUGGCGGUAGGCCUAACACAUGCAAGUCGAACGGCAGCACAGUAAGAGCUUGCUCUUACGGGUGGCGAGUGGCGGACGGGUGAGGAAUACAUCGGAAUCUACUUUUUCGUGGGGGAUAACGUAGGGAAACUUACGCUAAUACCGCAUACGACCUACGGGUGAAAGCAGGGGAUCUUCGGACCUUGCGCGAUUGAAUGAGCCGAUGUCGGAUUAGCUAGUUGGCGGGGUAAAGGCCCACCAAGGCGACGAUCCGUAGCUGGUCUGAGAGGAUGAUCAGACACACUGGAACUGAGACACGGUCCAGACUCCUACGGGAGGCAGCAGUGGGGAAUAUUGGACAAUGGGCGAAAGCCUGAUCCAGCCAUACCGCGUGGGUGAAGAAGGACUUCGGGUUGUAAAGCCCUUUUGUUGGGAAAGAAAAGCAGCAGGUUAAUACCCCGCUGUUCUGACGGUACAAAAAGAAUAAGCACCGGCUAACUUCGUG
rnacentral:rRNA from 1 species